CUUCCACUUCCCAGUGUCUUGAUUGAACACCUCGUUCAGUGCUAACAAGGAGACAGACUUCUGCAUGUUUUGACACUAACAUUGCCUGUAUGGAUGAGGAAAUGCAUAAAGUCUUUGCAUUCCAUUACUAUGUAUUCUGGUUGCUGAGAAGAAAAUCAUAAGACAUGGACAUUCUAAAUUUAUUUUGAUCAAUGACUUGCUCGUCCAUCAUCAGAGAUGCUUCCUCUUGCAGCAGAUGGGAACGGAUACAGACAAACUCAACAUUAUGCCGAGAGACCUUAGAACACUCCGUAAUAAGUGGCUGAGUCUCUCAAAUCCUUCCUGUCAUGGCUCAAAGAACAUUUUGGGAAAGAUGGUGGAAUAAAUGUAAGAGCCGGAGGGAAUGGAGGACAUCAAGGAAACAAGGCCCUCUAAAUCAACAUGAUCGACACAUGUGGGCUCACAGAAACUGAGGCAGUAUGCACAGGGACAGCAACUGUCUGUACCACAGGGAGGGAGUCCUUGAGCUGAAAGGAGAGGUAGACACUUGUCCAUAUCUCUAACCCAGAAA